ensembl:lncRNA
ACGUAGUGUCCCUUUUCUAUUUUCUAAUUUUUAUAUUAUUAUUAUUUUUAUUAAGCCCUAUCUACAUGGUGAAGAGGUUUCAGCAGUCUAAUUGUCCGGAGGGGAAACAUCAGUGUGAGUGCGCUGGUUCAGACCGAGGAUCUUCUAGCCCAAUAUUUUGCGUCUUAAAUCUGGCUACAAAAAGAUGUCUCGGGGAGCGUGAGAACAGGGCAAGCAGACCUGCUUACUUGCUGCUACCUUCCAGGAGAGCCAAGAAGCAUGCUCUGGCAUUAACUUCACUGAAAAUGACUCCCAUCUUACAAGAAUUAAAUAUCAUCCUGGAAAAGAAAACGUUCACUUAGAUAACGAAAAUGACUGCUGGAAGCAUCACAGCAAGUAAAUUCUGCCUUUUAUUUAACUAUUUCCUCUACACAACCGUGGGAAUUUUGAAAAAGAAGAAAAUCAGAAACAUGCACAAAAUGUAGAAACUGAAGAAGGAAAAUGAAAAGACAAAACAGGAUUGCUGCAUGGCAUCCAAAAAUACCCUGAAAUUUUGGAAGAAGCAAAUACUAUUUCCCAUUCUCCACAGGCACUGGUCUAUAAAAACAAUGCAAAACAUUACAUCUUGUUCUGGUGAUGACUUUGUAGGACUGACCUCCAUGCAGAAAGCCAAAGCAAUGUCACUGCCUCCGAUGAGACACAACAAGUCCUGUUUUGAAGGCAGCUUUUUGCAAAGGAUUAAAUUCUGCUAUUUAAAUACAUGCAGGCAGAACUAUCUGAGGCAGACAUGACAGAGCCACCUCAGCAGCAAUGCUAUGGCUGAAGAUGCCUUCAGCCUCGGCUGCUAUUUUUAGGUGCUUAUCACAGUUUGAUUUGAGACCCACUGUGAUGGGUGCAGUGCAAACCAUACCAGUGAAAUAAAGCUUUGCUUGUAAUUUUAAUGACUCUUAUGCUUACAAUGAGGAAAAAUUUGGAAAGUAUGGGAGAAUUACAUUUGUCUUUGCUAUUCUCUUCUUUAAGAGCAGAGCAGUCAGUAUUCAAUGAGAGAAUAAAAA